UACGUAGGGUGCAAGCGUUGUCCGGAAUUAUUGGGCGUAAAGAGCUCGUAGGCGGUUUGUCGCGUCUGCUGUGAAAACGCGAGGCUCAACCUCGCGCCUGCAGUGGGUACGGGCAGACUAGAGUGCGGUAGGGGAGAUUGGAAUUCCUGGUGUAGCGGUGGAAUGCGCAGAUAUCAGGAGGGACACCGAUGGCGAAGGCAGAUCUCUGGGCCGUUACUGACGCUGAGGAGCGAAAGCGUGGGGAGCGAACAGG
rnacentral:rRNA from 1 species